CCUACGGGGGGCAGCAGUGGGGGAUAUUGCACAAUGGGGGGAACCCUGAUGCAGCGACGCCGCGUGGGUGAAGGAGCGUUUCGGCGCGUAAAGCCCUAUCGGCAGGGAAGAAGAUGACGGUAUCUGACCAAGAAGCCCCGGCUAACUACGUGCCAGCAGCCGCGGUAAUACGUAGGGGGCAAGCGUUAUCCGGAUUUACUGGGUGUAAAGGGAGCGUAGACGGCAGCACAAGUCUGGAGUGAAAUCCCGGGGCUUAACCCCGGAACUGCUUUGGAAACUGUGCGGCUGGAGUGCAGGAGGGGUAA
rnacentral:rRNA from 1 species